rnacentral:rRNA from 1 species
UACAGAGGGUGCGAGCGUUGUCCGGAAUCACUGGGCGUAAAGGGCGCGUAGGUGGCGGCCCAAGUCCAUGGUGAAAGCUCGAUGCUCAACAUCGAGUCGGCCACGGAUACUGGGUUGCUCGAGCACUGUAGGGGCAGAUGGAAUUCCGGGUGUAGCGGUGGAAUGCGUAGAGAUCCGGAAGAACGCCGGUGGCGAAGGCGGUCUGCUGGGCAGUUGCUGACACUGAGGCGCGGCAGCGUGGGGAGCAAACAGG